rnacentral:pre_miRNA from 1 species
GUGUUGUCUUUGGUUAUCUAGCUGUAUGAGAGUCUUUUGUCACCAUAAAGCUAGGUAACCAAAACAACAACCAUUCCCCCUA